UUUUUUCUGCAUUUUUAACCACAGCAGUGUUUGCAAAUGUGUUGCAGCUGAUUGGUAACACCUGUGACCCUUGCCCAAAGUUGCACAAUGUUGAUUAAAAAACUGUUCAGUAAUUACUAGUUUCGAGUUCGAGAGAUCCCAGCUUUCUUUGCAGCGCUGUGUGUGUGUGUUUAUUUUUUAUUUUUUUUCUGUUCUGUGACUUUUAUUGUAUAACGUUAACCGUAACGUUACACUGGGAUGACCGGAGGCAGUAUGUGGAGUCAGUUUGCCGCAUUCCUGUUAUGCUAACGUUAGCAACCGUUAGCUAACGUAAGCUUAAGUAACGUAUCACCAGUGGCUGAAAGUUUUCCAGACAGUCGUCAUCUGGUCGGUUUUUCAUCUGGGGCUGCUCCUUGUUACGUGAGCUUUGGUCUGGCAAGCGAAAAAGUUCUGUUUUCGGUGCAGUAAUGUUAACAGAAAAGCUGACGUUAAGUUACUUGAAGUUAGCUGGCUAAGAACACAUUGAGGACUCUAGAGAGUGCUGCUGAAGGAGUUUCAUCUUACCCAUAAUCACCUGACUUGCGAAAGCAGCUCUGAUAUUGGAUCAGAGUAUUGAGUGGCACUACAGCUAUCCAAGGUGUUUGCUGAGUUCAUCGCUUUACAAAUGUUGAACCUAUGCAACCAAUUCUACUGCAAGCUUGAGAGAUGCACACCAAAACUGAUUGCCCUGUACAUGCAGAAGGCCAAGAGAGCAGAGGCCCUGCAGAGAUCCUCAGGAUUUGUGACCUUCAGAGACCAACUCCAUCCAUGAUCGGUCGCCAUACGGUCUACUGACAGUUGCAGAGACACAAACAGAGAGGGAUGUACUGCAGGCCUUCUCCACAAGCAGCUCACCUGCAGUUGUUACCACAGAAACAUGGAUGAAAAAGUUCAAAACGCGAGCUGUGUUUUUUGGGCAGUCAAACUUACGGCUGACAAUGAAAGCGGACAGAUAGCAGCCUGUUUGUGUCCGUUUGCUGUAUGAUACAGCAAGAAAGAAACUGAAAAGGGCGGUGUAAGCUGGUGUGCGUUGUGUGGGACAGAACUUCAGGAGCAACACUUGGUAGCCCACACAUGAGAUGCCGUCUGACCCUCUGUGGCCUCCCAGUGAACCUGCUAGCAGAUGACUGACGUCUUCAAAACCUCCAAUGUUCAGCGACCUGUUUGCCCUGGCAGAGGAGUCUGAGGACUCCCAGACCAAGCCUCCCAAGUCCCGCCGUAAGGCUCCGGCCUCCUCGCCUCGCUCCCGGAAAGGAGCGGCUCUGCCCAACAACAAGGAGGAGAGCGCCUCCAGCAGCGCCUCGGUACGUAGCCCCACCUCCAACUACUCCUCUGUGUGAGGACAACCUGAAUCUGCAUUUUGUUCUUUGAUAGGUCCGUUUCAAAACUACAAUGGAAAAUUUGAUAUUUAAUGUCUGAUUUGUGAAACCAGGAAGUAGAUUUGUGUCUUCACCAAGCAGAACCUCCAGGUUUGAAAAGUGAUGCCUCAAACCUGCAUUCUCUCUAACAGCCAGCAGGGAGCGACUCCACUGGAUUGAAUAGAAGUCUGAGAAACUGUAGCUACUUCUCAGCUGAUGUAUUACCUCAGUAAACACUUUCCUGAUGAGUCUCAGUCGCUAGUUUCAAGUCUUCUUCAACACAGCAUGAUGGUGAUUUAGUAAACUAUGGUCCCAUUUAGGGGAAAAUAGACCAGAAAGCAGGGGAGGCUUUAGGGCGGGGCUACCCUGUGAUUGUCAAGUUGCUAUGUGUGACCUAAAUAUGGUACCCCAUGGAUGUUCACUUUUCUUUCAGCUGGACAGGUAGGCUGGAAUAAAAUGCCCCCGCAGCACUCAAGAAUGUGUUUUCCUUCCGUGGUAUUGUAGUUCUAGUCACUAGUCCAAAUCAGUCCAAAUAUAAUUCGAUGUAUUACGACUACGAAGACCAACAGGCAGCUUUCAUGUUAUUGCUGCAAGUCUCUUUCGGAUUGUACCACAGAUAUAAAACAGAUUUAUUCUUCAACUAUUGGGAAGUGCUACCUUAUCAGUUCUUGAAACCUACUGUUGCUGCUUAGAGAUGAGCACCGCUAUUAAGAUUUCACACAAUCGUUAGCAUCGCUGUCUCCCUCUCCUCAUGUCGUCGUCCAUCCCGGUGUUUCAUUGUUGACAUCAUCCGAUUCCAAUUUUGUAGACAUCAUUCAACCCUAAUUUGAAUACAUUAAUUUACUCUGCAAGUAAUUUUGUGACUGCAUUUCCUUUGUGCGUUUCUGUUUUUUGGGUCGUGAUAUAGGUCUUAAAUUUCAUUCAUAAUGGUUUGACCAGGUGAAACCUGCAGAAACCUUGAUAUUGUUCUAUUACCUCGUCUAUCUGACUUAAAAAUUUGCAUAGUGCGGGACUUAUUUUAAACAAUCUUUAUUAGCUAUCUUUAUUUGCUUAUGAUAAAACUCCACAUUUAAAGCUCCCUUUUAUAUUAUUUAAGUGCUGCUGAUGGAAUAAAAGUAUGCAUAGUCACUUUUUCCACAAAACACAGUAAAGUAGUAAAAGGAAAUUUUAUUUAGCUCAAAGGACUUUGCUCAAGAGAUUCACUUAAUGCCAAGAAAUCUCAUUAAUCUUGAAAUAGAGAAUGUUCAACAUUCUUGCAAAAAAGAAUGAAAACAAAUUGAUUAUCAAAAUUGUUACUGGUUAGUUAUCUGAUCAAGCAAUCAAUUACUAUUAUUAUUCUAUUCAGCUUUAUGCAAGAUGUGCCUUAUUUUGUGUCUGUUAAAUGUAGAAAUGACAGAUGUUUAAGGUUUUGAUACUAAUAAAGAGAACUUGAAUAAUAAUGGAGUUGUAUUCAUAUUUUUGAGGACUACUAUAUAUAUAUGACUAGUAGUAAUUUUGUUGAGUGAGUUUCCACUAAUAUUUAAGUCUAGCACAAUACACUUUUUUUGAGUAGAUUUCCCUCGGAGUAUAAGUUGUGCACAGUUACAUUUAUUGAGUAAAGAAUUAGUGGAAUUUAAUUUUAAUAAGCAUCAGUGAAUCAUUGUAAUUUAGUAUGUAAUCUUUUAUUUUUUUGUCUUAUAUUUAAGUUGAGGUUUACUCAAAUAUUAUUACCACUACUUAAAAAGUUUCCACAAAUAUUUUGAGUAUCCUGAACUUAUUUGGGUUUUACAGUGCACACCAGUUUCGAUGAUGCAGUGAUUUAUUAAGGAUGGUAGCUGCAUGAACCAUUUUAUCCUAGGUGUGCGACCAUUGCAUCAUAACUGCCUGCUUUGUGUACGGGUCUCUGAGGGAGUUGUGUCAGCGGGCCUGAACCCGGUAUCAAUAAGUCUCAUCUCCACUAAACCUGCACUGACUGCAUCACUUCCACCACUGUGUCCAAACCAUAUUUUAGAUUUAAAAUGCCCACCAAUAUAGUGUUCCUCAUAACAAGAUAAAUAUAAAACUAUAUACAUCUAUGUAUGAAAGACUAAAAUGCUCCCACAGUUGAAUAAGUUUAUAAGCAGAUUGAUAUGAACUAACAGCAUGGAGGGCUAAUCCAUGAUUAGGGGAAUCAGUAACUGGAUAAUCUUACAGCAGAAGCUGUUAGGGAAACAAGAUGUUUUGACUUGCUUUUGUUGUUCCAAGAGCUACUGUUGAGUUUUAAAAAGUUACAACAAACUUAAUUCCAGUGUUUCAGUGUUUUUCUUCAAAUGUAAAACUGCAGGAUUUUAGGCCAGGCAAUUGCAUUAGAAUGUUGAUUUAAACCAUUGUUUGUAUCCUCUUUGUAAUGUGAAGAAAACUGACACCUCUUUGUUUAGUGCCAGAAGGACUGUUUUGUUUUGACUGUUUCAUUGACACUUAAGAUAGGUCAAGGUGUCAACCAUUUUGGAGACAAGCCCAGUUGUUCUCUAUGAUUAGUUUAGAGCAAAAGACUGUUUAUUCCUGUAGAUUGAAGGGGGGUUUCACGUCUGGGAUCGGUGCUCUUUUGUUCGACCAAAAGGUAGAACAGUAAGGUACACCCUUCCCAAUUGGGUGACGACCAAUGGCUAUGGACCUAAGCCAUUUGGAGGAAAAUGGACCCGCCCACAUACCUGGAGGAUAUUAACAAUUUAUUUUGUGAGAAUCAGGACUGUAAGCUGUGGAUCUGGGAGGAGAAGUAGCUUUUCAGUCCACUGCUGGAGGCGGCUUUAGCUCAGUCUGUUCGGAGUUGACUGAAAGCUGUAAAUCUGAACGGAGGACCAACUUUUCAGUCCACUGCAGUGUUAUUUGUUUGU